rnacentral:lncRNA from 1 species
CUGUGCGUUUAGGGAGUUUGGGAUUAUUUCCCAAUUGGUCCCCUUCUUUUGCAUGCAUUCCAUUUGGGUCCCUAUUCCCAAUUCCUUUUUUUAUUUUUUUAUUUACGAUUUGUGUCCUUAAUUUUGUUUUGAUUCGUAUUUAAACCUGAUUUGUUUGGUUUUAUUGUUUGUUUAUAUUUUUUAUAUAUAUACUUAGACUUAAUAAUAAUAAUAAUAACAUUAAUACGCUUAUUUAUUUGCUCAUUCCUUGUUUAGUUUUUUUUAAUAUUUGGAUUCAAUAUUAUUUAUAUUCAACUUAUUAAUUUAUC